CAGGUAGGUGGUUUAGAAAGUCUACUGUGAAAUCCCCGGGCUUAACCUGGGAACUGCGGUGGAAACUACUUAAACUAGAGUGCUAGAGGGGUUCGUGGAAUACUCGGUGUAGCGGUGAAAUGCGUAGAUAUCGAGUGGAAUAUCAGAGGCGAAGGCGACGAACUGGAUAGUAACUGACACUCAACUGCGAAAGCGUGGGGAGCAAACAGGAUUAGAUACCCUGGUAGUCCACGCUGUAAACGAUGGAUACUAGACGUGGUGGGUCUUGACCCCUGCCGUGUCGAAGCUAACGCGAUAAGUAUCCCGCCUGGGAAGUACGGUCGCAAGACUAAA
rnacentral:rRNA from 1 species